rnacentral:rRNA from 1 species
UACGAAGGGAGCUAGCGUUGUUCGGAAUCACUGGGCGUAAAGCGCACGUAGGCGGAUGUGUCAGUCAGGGGUGAAAUCCCGGAGCUCAACUUCGGAACUGCCUUUGAUACAGCACGUCUUGAGUCCGAUAGAGGUGGGUGGAAUUCCUAGUGUAGAGGUGAAAUUCGUAGAUAUUGGGAAGAACACCGGUGGCGAAGGCGGCCAUCUGGACCGUUUCUGACGCUGAGGCGCGAAAGCGUGGGGAGCAAACAGG